UAGGAGGAAAAAUAGCCGCUCUGUUCAUCUAUGUGACAACCUGGAUGUUGCAAUACGUCACUCAACUUCUCUCCCAUUGUUUGUUGAAUUAAGUUUUCAUUAUUCUAGUAAUUGGAGGAAGUUUCAUACAUUUAACAAAAUUAUUUUCUCAUUUAACAAACAGGAUGAAUUUAUUACAAAUAAUAUUACCUCUUUUCUUAGGAUUAAUUAAAUUAUUUCUCCUUCGAUUUCUUAACGAUAAUUUGAAAGGAGGCAACUGGAAGUUCGCAUUUUGCUAAAAAGCAUAUUUGGAACAAAAUACUCAAGCCACCCACCAAGAAGAGCUUCUAUAGCAAAUAGAACUUCCAAUAGCAACUAUUUUAUUUAUAUAAACAGUAUGAAAUAGUGUUAAGUAGAUUAUUCAAGAAUAAAAGAUGCAAAGCUCACUGCAAGUAUUGAUGAUAUUUUAUGAAUGAAAACAAUUUUCUAAACUAUUAUCGCAAAUAAAGGCGUUUCACUGGUAAAAAUAA